rnacentral:lncRNA from 1 species
UUGUAUCUGGGGGAGGCAGAUGGCAGCUCACAGGUAGAAGAUGGAGGGAGGACGUCUUGAGUGUGGUCGGGUGUGAAGGAGACAAGUCAGAUGGGCUGGGGCUAAAUGUGGGUUUGGAUGCUGAGAUUCUAGUCAUGAACUGCCUCUUAUUCUAGGCGGGGGAUUUCGGAAAACCUGAGUCCAGAAGGUUCAAUAAACACACAUCCAGAGCCAGUGAAACCUGCUCUACCCAUGGAUUUUAACUUCAGACAAUGGCAACUUGAGAUUUAAGGAGAGUUCUUCAUAGGAUGGAAAGGCUAGGAGCAACAUCACCCCAACCUCCCUGAGGAAAGACACGUGUUUCCAAGGAAAGGCAUGAAUGGUUCUGUGUGAUCCAGGUGUUCUGUGAAGUGUGGGUUCACCAGGAGAACAGCUUCGCCUGACUGUAAGCAACAGGACGGCUCCCAUCUGAUGACAUAACAACUUGGACAGAUUGCAAGAGAAUAGUGCAAAAGGCUGGUCUCAAAAUGCUCCAGGCUGAAUGCUUCCAUUUGUGUAAUAUUCUUCAAGUGACACAAUUACAGAGAGGAAGCUUUUAAAGAAUAGCAGAUCAGCUUCAACUCCCAUAAGUAAAAGGACUUAAGUUCUGAGAAGGUGGGGGAUCAGGGGCAGCCAGUUCCAGGCUCAGUGGAGGUAGCAGGUGUUUCUGCUCAGCCUCGGUGGAUCUUCUGCAUCGGCUUGGUCUUGUGACCCCAUACCCCCACUUUGUGGCACCUCCUGUCCUGGCUCUGACCCAUUGCCUAGCCCCCAUCUGGGCUCUGAUCCAUCCCAGGUCUCUCCCAGCAUAGACACGUGAAAGCGAGUGGUGCCCACUUGCAGCUCUGAGGUUCCCGGAUAGAGAGGGAGGCUCUUUCCCAGCGCUCCGUGUGCAAAUCCUAGGCUGGUUCUGAUUGGCCACAGUGGGUCACAUGUUUGUCC